rnacentral:misc_RNA from 1 species
UUUCCGUAGGUGAACCUGCGGAAGGAUCAUUAUUGGAUUUUGAAACUUCAGGCUGCUGCUGGCUCUCCUCGGAGGGCAUGUGCACGCUUGUUGUCCAUUAUUUCUCCCACUGUGCACAAAUUGUAGACCUUUCAGUAGGCCUAUGUUGUUUUUCACAAUCUCUGAGUGUAAUAGAAUGGUUUUGAAUCUUGGGAAAUACAAUACAACUUUCAGCAACGGAUCUCUUGGCUCUC